rnacentral:rRNA from 1 species
UACGUAGGGGGCAAGCGUUGUCCGGAAUUAUUGGGCGUAAAGAGCGCGUAGGCGGUCCGAUAAGUCGGCUGUGAAAGUCACAGGCUCAACCUGUGAAUGCCGCUGGAAACUGUCUGGCUAGAGUCCGGAAGGGGCGAGUGGAAUUCCUGGUGUAGCGGUGAAAUGCGCAGAUAUCAGGAGGAACACCAAUAGCGAAGGCAGCUCGCUGGGACGGUACUGACGCUGAGGCGCGAAAGCGUGGGGAGCAAACAGG